ensembl:lncRNA
GCCAGAGUUACAUCUCAAGCCUGUUUGACCCGAAGCCAAGGGAGAGACAAUGGAUUAAGUUCAUGAUGUCCCAAUUUUUUGGCCCAGCUCGCAAGUGGGCACAACGAGUAGCAGCCAUGAGACCCCGGUUACUGGAGGACAGUAGGCAGUUUUCGGACUUGUUUCUGAGGGAGUUUGGAGAACCAGGGCAGAGCUACAACUUGGAUGAACUGUUGAAGGGUGUUAAUGUGGCGAACAGUGCUGAUCUUCCAUUCCAUAUGCAUUAUGAGCGGAUGAGCCACCAAGUUGAUGUUAACACGGACAACCAAGUCCCUGAGGUCCAAGUCCAAGUCAAGCCUCAAGUCCCUGAGGUCCAAGUCAAGCCUCAAGUCCCUGAGGUCCAAGUCAAGUCUCAAGCUUCUGAAGUCCAAGUCAAGUCUCAAGCUUCUGAAGUCCAAGUCAAGGCUCCAGUCUCGGAAGUCCAAGUCAAGUCUCAAGUUCCUGAUGUCACGCCCAAGUCUACCGACCCGGGCGCCCAAGUUCAGCCCACGCCCAAGUUCAGCCCACGCCCAAGUUCAGCCCACGCCCAAGACUACCGACCCGGUCGCCCAAGUUCAGCCCACGCCCAAGACUACCGUCACGACCACCCAAGUUCUGCCAAAGCCCUUUGGGGGGAGGAGUGCCCUUGCGGGGGGGUUCUGUCACGAGUUCCCCUUUAAGCAGCGCGCUGUGGAGCAUGUGAGCGCGUGUGCAUGAGCACCUGCUUUUCCCUUGUGGACAAUCGUGACAUUUCGACUCGUGCAUUUGUUUAUGUUUCUGUCAUGUCUCCUCCCCGUUCUGUCAUUGGUUGUAGUCUCACGUGUGUCUGAAUCGUCCUCAGCCAUCAGCCAUUACGAGGCUGAUUAGCUCCGCAUAUAUACCGCGUGCCUCCCAGCACACAACGCGGAAUGUUGAAUGAGUUAGAUAGUCGAUUAGUUUAGAGUCCUUACGAUAGAUAACCACAGUUAUA